rnacentral:rRNA from 1 species
GAUGAACGCUAGCGGCAGGCCUAACACAUGCAAGUCGAGGGAGAGGUUAUCUUCGGGUAACCAAAACCGGCGCACGGGUGCGUAACGCGUAUACAAUCUGCCUUUCACAUAGGGAUAGCCCGAAGAAAUUUGGAUUAAUACCUAAUGGUAUAUAAGAGCGGCAUCGUUUUUAUAUUAAAGCUACGGUGGUGAAAGAUGAGUAUGCGUUCUAUUAGCUAGUUGGAGAGGUAACGGCUCCCCAAGGCGACGAUAGAUAGGGGUUCUGAGAGGGAUGUCCCCCACACUGGUACUGAGAUACGGACCAGACUCCUACGGGAGGCAGCAGUGAGGAAUAUUGGACAAUGGGCGGAAGACUGAUCCAGCCAUGCCGCGUGCAGGAUGAAGGUCCUAUGGAUUGUAAACUGCUUUUGUAAGGGAAGAAUAAGGGGUACGUGUACUUUGAUGACGGUACCUUACGAAUAAGCAUCGGCUAACUCCGUGCCAGCAGCCGCGGUAAUACGGAGGAUGCGAGCGUUAUCCGGAAUCAUUGGGUUUAAAGGGUCCGUAGGCGGGCUGAUAAGUCAGAGGUGAAAGCGCUUAGCUCAACUAAGCAACUGCCUUUGAAACUGUCAGUCUUGAAUGAUUGUGAAGUAGUUGGAAUGUGUAGUGUAGCGGUGAAAUGCUUAGAUAUUACACAGAACACCGAUAGCGAAGGCAUAUUACUAACAAUUUAUUGACGCUGAUGGACGAAAGCGUGGGGAGCGAACAGG